AGUGAACGCUGGCGGUAGGCCUAACACAUGCAAGUCGAACGGCAGCACAGUAAGAGCUUGCUCUUACGGGUGGCGAGUGGCGGACGGGUGAGGAAUACAUCGGAAUCUACUUUUUCGUGGGGGAUAACGUAGGGAAACUUACGCUAAUACCGCAUACGACCUACGGGUGAAAGCAGGGGAUCUUCGGACCUUGCGCGAUUGAAUGAGCCGAUGUCGGAUUAGCUAGUUGGCGGGGUAAAGGCCCACCAAGGCGACGAUCCGUAGCUGGUCUGAGAGGAUGAUCGGCCACACUGGAACUGAGACACGGUCCAGACUCCUACGGGAGGCAGCAGUGGGGAAUAUUGGACAAUGGGCGCAAGCCUGAUCCAGCCAUACCGCGUGGGUGAAGAAGGCCUUCGGGUUGUAAAGCCCUUUUGUUGGGAAAGAAGAGCAGCAGGUUAAUACCCCGCUGUUCUGACGGUACCCAAAGAAUAAGCACCGGCUAACUUCGUG
rnacentral:rRNA from 1 species